GCUCCAGUAGCUUAGUGGUUAGAGCGUCCACCUCAGAUGCGGGAGGUCGUGGGUUCGAUCCCGCUUGGGGGUCA